rnacentral:miRNA from 1 species
UUUAUUGAGCACCUCCUAUCA